ACAACAUUCGGACCGUCGGUCUACCGAGUAAUAUAACCCACUCGGUUUAAGAUCUUACUUCCGUCGU
rnacentral:pre_miRNA from 1 species